CUGAGGGUCCAAGCCAUGAGGCAAUGCCAUGGCAAUAGGGCAGGCUCAAGUUGAAGCCAAGCUGCCAGUGCUCAGGUUGAGCUCUGCAAAAAGGGAAUCUCCAGGCAGGCAGGGCAUGCCUGCAGCUGUGCUAGAGACCAGUUCUUCCCCUCUGUAUCCCAGAGCAGAGGGCUAAACACACUAAUCCUGCAAGUUCCAGGUGAGGCUGGUCACUAAGGUCUGUUAGUGCCCUCAGGGCCCCAGCACAAACACAGCCUUCCACAGAUUUGAAAAUACCCGAGUUUUAGCAGUAAUCCAUUUCAACACACACAAAUGAUUAAGGAGAUAUGUUGAGUGAAAAAGUCACAGGGAAAAUGAACUCUUCUAGGCAACUGUUCUCCUCAGACACCCAACACAUCUCCUUUGGGCUGUUCAUUUUCCAUUCACAAUUUGUGGAAUAAAGACUGGAAGAAAUGUCUCUAGUUCAUUAAGAGGAACAAACACCUUAAGGCUGAGUCCCAAAUGACAGUAUAGCCAGGAAAGCAGGAGUGCUGUAACUGCAUAUCUUGCAGCAGAGCAAGAAGAGCAACAGGAGUCAAAAACUGCAGCGACAGCUGUUCCUGAGAG